rnacentral:rRNA from 1 species
CCUACGGGAGGCUGCAGUGAGGAAUAUUGGUCAAUGGACGAGAGUCUGAACCAGCCAAGUAGCGUGAAGGAUGACUGCCCAAUGGGUUGUAAACUUCUUUUAUAUGGGAAUAAAAUGUUCCACGUGUGGGAUUUUGUAUGUACCAUAUGAAUAAGGAUCGGCUAACUCCGGGCCAGAAGCCGCGGUAAUACGGAGGAUCCGAGCGUUUCCCGGAUUUAUGGGGUUUAAAGGGAGCGAAGGUGGAUUGUUAAGUAAGUGGGGAAAGUUUGCGGCUCAAGCGUAAAAUUGCAGUUGAAACUGGCAGUCUGGAGUACAGUAGAGGUGGGCGGAAUGCGUGGUGUAGCGGUGAAAUGCUUAGAUAUCACGAAGAACUCCGAUUGCGAAGGCAGCUCACUGGACUGCAACUGACACUGAGGCUCGAAAGUGUGGGUAUCAAACAGGAUUAGAUACCCCUGUAGUC